UGUUGCACCCACUAAGCUGAGGGGUUUGACUCUCUUGUAAAGUGCUGUAGUGCUUGUUAUUACUCUCAACUUCUCUCUCUAUAGCUCCGGUUCUCUGAGGUUCUGAUGAAAUAGAGAUGUUUUCUUCAGCUUCCUUGUAGCACAGCAGGGGAAGGAGGGCAUGGAGGCAUCAGAGAGAAGGUUAGAGCUGGAUCUUCUACAGAACCAUUGACAUGCUGGAUUCAAAUAGCCGUUGUCUCAACCUUAGAGACAGGUCAGCUGGAACCGCUGCUCAGUGAGUUCACUGAGGAGGGGGGAGAAACAGAUUAACAGAAUGCUGCAGAGGUUGACCUGGCCAAGCAUGCAGAGGAGCACAGUGUUCGUCUGAAACCUCCCAUCUUCAUCACCUUCCAGUGUUCCCUCAAGGUUAGAGACCCUGUAGUCACGCGUUGCCUUCCUUCCAGUGUUACCUCAAGGUUAGUGAACCUGUAGUCACGCGUUGCCUUCCUUCCAGUGUUACCUCAAGGUUAGAGACCCUGUAGUCACGAGUUGCCUUCCUUCCAGUAUUGCCUCAAGGUUAGAGACCCUGUAGUCACAAGUUGCCUUCCUUCCAGUGUUACCUCAAGGUUAGUGAACCUGUAGUCACACAUUGCCAUAUGAGGCCUAUAAUAACGUGACCAUGGAUGUUGAGUUGUCAUCCUCUCCUCUCUCUUCCAUUGUAGGAGGCCUAUAAUAACAUGACCAUAGAUGUUGAGUUGUCAUCCUCUCCUCUCUCUUCCAUUGUAGGAGGCCUAUAAUAACAUGACCAUAGAUGUUGAGUUGUCAUCCUCUCCUCUCUCUUCCAUUGUAGGAGGCCUAUAAUAACAUGACCAUAGAUGUUGAGUUGUAGAGAAGGGAGGGCUUGUGCAUGGAGCCUACAUGUAGCAGGGGGAAGAGAUUGGAUAUGAGGACCCUGUUGACCCUGACUGUGGGACCACUAAAAUGAUGUACCACAAGUAAAGGAUGAAUCUAUUCAUACUAACAGACACUGAAUACUUAAAAACAUACUUAACACAUAGUUAUAGUUUAAAAAAAGUUUUAAUAGUGUUGAAUAACUAAACUGCAUCUCUGAUCUGACCACCAGUACAGCACUUACAGCUCUGAUCUGACCAAAAGUACUGCACUUAUAGCUCUGUUAUGACCAAAGGUACUGCACUUACAGCUCUGAUCUGACCAAAAGUACUGCACUUAUAGCUCUGUUAUGACCAAAAGUACUGCACUUACAGCUCUGAUCUGACCAAAGGUACUGCACUUAUAGCUCUGAUCUGACCAACAGUACUGCACUUAUAGCUCUGAUCUGACCAAAAGUACUGCACUUACAGCUCUGAUCUGACCAAAAGUACUGUACUUAUAGCUCUGAUCUGACCAAAAGUACUGCACUUAUAGCUCUGAUCUGACCAAAAGUACUGUACUUAUAGCUCUGAUCUGACCAAAAGUACUGCACUUAUAGCUCUGAUCUGACCAAAAGUACUGCACUUACAGCUCUGAUCUGACCAAAGGUACUGCACUUAUAGCUCUGAUCUGACCAAAAGUACUGCACUUAUAGCUCUGAUCUGACCAACAGUACUGCACUUAUAGCUCUGAUCUGACCAAAAGUACUGCACUUACAGCUCUGAUCUGACCAAAGGUACUGCACUUAUAGCUCUGAUCUGACCAAAGGUACUGCACUUAUAGCUCUGAUCUGACCAACAGUACUGCACUUAUAGCUCUGAUCUGACCAAAAGUACUGCACUUACAGCUCUGAUCUGACCAAAAGUACUGUACUUAUAGCUCUGAUCUGACCAAAAGUACUGCACUUAUAGCUCUGAUCUGACCAAAAGUACUGCACUUACAGCUCUGAUCUGACCAAAGGUACUGCACUUAUAGCUCUGAUCUGACCAAAAGUACUGCACUUACAGCUCUGAUCUGACCAAAGGUACUGCACUUAUAGCUCUGAUCUGACCAAAAGUACUGCACUUAUAGCUCUGAUCUGACCAAAAGUACUGUACUUAUAGCUCUGAUCUGACCAAAAGUACUGCACUUACAGCUCUGAUCUGACCAAAGGUACUGCACUUAUAGCUCUGAUCUGACCAAAAGUACUGCACUUAUAGCUCUGAUCUGACCAACAGUACUGCACUUAUAGCUCUGAUCUGACCAAAAGUACUGCACUUACAGCUCUGAUCUGACCAAAGGUACUGCACUUAUAGCUCUGAUCUGACCAAAAGUACUGCACUUAUAGCUCUGAUCUGACCAACAGUACUGCACUUAUAGCUCUGAUCUGACCAAAGGUACUGCACUUUCAGCUCUGAUCUGACCAACAGUACUGCACUUAUAGCUCUGAUCUGACCAAAAGUACUGCACUUAUAGGAUGUAGGGUGACAUUUCAGACACUGCUUGGUCACAGCUGUGUAACAACGUGUCAGGGACAGUACUACUUGUACUACAAGGUGUCUAGACUACAUUCUGGAUGAUAUUGGACUGACAGAAAUGCCAAUGUCAAGUUGGCUUCACACAACGAGAACACAGUGAAGCACACCAUCAGGAGGCAAAUCUCCAUAAUCUAAUCUACUGCCAAGGCCUGGCAUAGAUCACAGACACAAUGAGGAGGAUGGCUCCCUACCCUGACUGCUCUGAGGAGGAUGGCUCCAUACCUUGACUGCUCUGAGGAGGAUGGCUCCAUACCCUGACUGCUCUGAGGAGGAUGGCUCCCUACCCUGACUGCUCUGAGGAGGAUGGCUCCAUACCUUGACUGCUCUGAGGGGGAUGGCUCCCUACCCUGACUGCUCUGAGGAGGAUGGCUCCAUACCUUGACUGCUCUGAGGAGGAUGGCUCCAUACCCUGACUGCUCUGAGGAGGAUGGCUCCCUACCCUGACUGCUCUGAGGAGGAUGGCUCCCUACCCUGACUGCUCUGGGGAGGAUGGCUCCCUACCCUGACUGCUCUGAAGAGGAUGGCUCCCUACACUGACUGCUCUGAAGAGGAUGGCUCCCUACACUGACUGCUCUGAGGAGGAUGUCUCCCUACCCUGACUGCUCUGAGGAGGAUGUCUCCCUACACUGACUGCUCUGAAGAGGAUGGCUCCCUACACUGACUGCUCUGAGGAGGAUGGCUCCCUACCCUGACUGCUCUACACUGACUGCUCUGAAGAGGAUGGCUCCCUACACUGACUGCUCUGAAGAGGAUGGCUCCCUACCCUGACUGCUCUGAAGAGGAUGGCUCCAUACACUGACUGCUCUGAAGAGGAUGGCUCCCUACCCUGACUGCUCUACACUGACUGCUCUGAAGAGGAUGGCUCCCUACACUGACUGCUCUGAAGAGGAUGGCUCCCUACACUGACUGCUCUGAAGAGGAUGGCUCCCUACCCUGACUGCUCUGAAGAGGAUGGCUCCAUACCCUGACUGCUCUGAAGAGGAUGGCUCCCUACCCUGACUGCUCUACACUGACUGCUCUGAAGAGGAUGGCUCCCUACACUGACUGCUCUGAAGAGGAUGGCUCCCUACCCUGACUGCUCUACACUGACUGCUCUGAAGAGGAUGGCUCCCUACACUGACUGCUCUGAAGAGGAUGGCUCCCUACCCUGACUGCUCUACACUGACUGCUCUGAGGAGGAUGGCUCCCUACCCUGACUGCUCUGAGGAGGAUGGCUCCCUACCCUGACUGCUCUGAGGAGGAUGGCUCCCUACACUGACUGCUCUACACUGACUGCUCUGAGGAGGAUGGCUCCCUACACUGACUGCUCUGAAGAGGAUGGCUCCCUACCCUGACUGCUCUACACUGACUGCUCUGAGGAGGAUGGCUCCCAACCCUGACUGCUCUGAGGAGGAUGGCUCCCUACCCUGACUGCUCUGAGGAGGAUGGCUCCCUACCCUGACUGCUCUGAGGAGGAUGGCUCCCUACCCUGACUGCUCUGAAGAGGAUGGCUCCCUACACUGACUGCUCUGAAGAGGAUGGCUCCCUACCCUGACUGCUCUGAGGAGGAUGGCUCCCUACCCUGACUGCUCUGAAGAGGAUGGCUCCCUACCCUGACUGCUCUGAAGAGGAUGGCUCCCUACACUGACUGCUCUGAAGAGGAUGGCUCCCUACCCUGACUGCUCUGAGGAGGAUGGCUCCCUACACUGACUGCUCUGAGGAGGAUGGCUCCCUACACUGACUGCUCUGAGGAGGAUGGCUCCCUACACUGACUGCUCUACACUGACUGCUCACACAUGGAUAUUACAUUUCUAUAAAAAUAUUGAUUUUCUCAAACUAUAAGUGCUUUUAACCUAUUUUUACUUUUCUUGUUUGUGUACAUUGACACGCAGGAGGAAUACGUUGGGCCUGUUUCCAUAUUGCCAAGACUUGCAUUAUUCAUUGCUCAUUAAAGGA